rnacentral:rRNA from 1 species
CCUACGGGAGGCAGCAGUGAGGAAUAUUGGUCAAUGGGCGUAAGCCUGAACCAGCCAAGUCGCGUGCGGGAUGAAGGUUCUAUGGAUCGUAAACCUCUUUUAUAAGGGAAUAAAGUGCGGUACGUGUCUCGUGUUGUAUGUACCUUAUGAAUAAGGAUCGGCUAACUCCGUGCCAGCAGCCGCGGUAAUACGGAGGAUCCGAGCUUUAUCCGGAUUUAUUGGGUUUAAAGGGUGCGUAGGCGGCCUUUUAAGUUAGCGGUGAAAUUUUGGGGCUUAACCAUAGAAUUGCCGUUGAAACUGGUAGGCUUGAGUAUGUUUGAGGCAGGCGGAAUGUGUGGUGUAGCGGUGAAAUGCUUAGAUAUCACACAGAACCCCGAUUGCGAAGGCAGCCUGCCAAGCCAUGACUGACGCUGAUGCACGAAAGCGUGGGGAGCAAACAGGAUUAGAUACCCGGGUAGUC